ACCACAUCCGGGUCUUUUGCGUCCUUAGAUACCAGUCCAAAAUAAAAUAAAAAACAGUACCACGCCUGCCUCAUCAGCUGCUAUCAGAGCGUCAAGGGCAAGGCAUCGAUGGAUAUUAUGAGAGGCAGUUUAGAUUAAAUCUCCCGCCCGGCAUCCAGCGAGAGUUCUCGGCCUGGCGGUAGCCAUGUGUCAGCUGUGUCACUGCCUGAAGUCGGGAGAGUUUGUCACCCCAGCCCAACGUCCCUGGUGGUCCUGAGCGAUGAUGUCCCCAACAAUAAGCAGGACCAUGCGGACGCCUCAGAGCAGGUGGGUAGGCUGUUUUCCAGUUUCAGCCAGCUGGAUUUAGGACCGCACUGACACCACAGAGGGGUGCAGACAGGCUUUGUGAAGGCAAAGCUUCUGAAAGUCUGGCGUAUAGUACCAGCACGGGAGAGAUGAACAGAGGCAGCUGCUGCUGUCUGUGUUGCGCUUUUUCUUCGAGUUGUAAAAACAAGCAGAGCAGAAACGGACUACUCUUUAGUUGACUGGUCUAGAUGGCAAGUUCACUCGAUUGGAGAUGUAUCUGAUGAGGAAAACGAAGAUCCAGAAGGACAUUAAGAAAUAUAAAGUACUUGACAAAAUCCUGGCUUCAAGGAUCUCAAAUGGAAAAGGGAAGGAGUUCCAUCAACUAUGGAAGGAACUAUUGUUCAUGGAUCCAGUGAAGAAGUGGACUUUGUUUCUGUGUUUGUGACUCAAGAGCCUGACAAAGAGACACAACACAAGUGGAGGAAAGUGAAUUUGAUUAAAUAUGCUGGAACACAAUUAUAGAUGGUAACACUUUACAUAAUUCCUUUGCUCAUGUUCCCCGGGCGCUGAAGACGUGGAUGUCGAUUAAGGCAGCCC